AUUGAACGCUGGCGGCAUGCUUUACACAUGCAAGUCGAGCGGCAGCGCGGGGGCAACCCUGGCGGCGAGCGGCGAACGGGUGAGUAACACAUCGGAACGUACCCAGGAGUGGGGGAUAGCCCGGCGAAAGCCGGAUUAAUACCGCAUACGAUCUACGGAUGAAAGCGGGGGAUCGCAAGACCUCGCGCUUUUGGAGCGGCCGAUGUCCGAUUAGCUAGUUGGUGGGGUAAAGGCCUACCAAGGCGACGAUUGGUAGCUGGUCUGAGAGGAUGAUCAGCCACACUGGGACUGAGACACGGCCCAGACUCCUACGGGAGGCAGCAGUGGGGAAUUUUGGACAAUGGGGCAACCCUGAUCCAGCCAUGCCGCGUGAGUGAAGAAGGCC
rnacentral:rRNA from 1 species